rnacentral:misc_RNA from 1 species
GUGAAUCAUCGAAUUUUUGAACGCAAAUUGCACUCUCUUCGGAGAGUAUGCCUGUUUGAGGGUCCGCCUAAAAAAAAUCGACAUAGUUGCUGUUUCUCGGUGACAUUCUGCGGAAUUUGGGUCAUCUUAAACCUUUGGGUUUUAAGCGGCUUAAAAUUUUCUUUACGUUUCCAUGAACGUUUCUAAGAUUUUACUUCUUACUCGUUUAAGACAUAGAUCUUUAUUAGACGUGGCAGUUUCUUCUGAUCACGUCCCUAAAUAUAUCGUUAACUGCCC